rnacentral:rRNA from 1 species
AACACAUGCAAGUCGAGCGGGAAAGUCUCCUUCGGGGGGCGAGUACAGCGCGAACGGGUGAGUAACACGUAGGCAACCUACCCUGAAGUCUGGGAUAAUUGUCGAAAGGCGGGCUAAUACCAGAUAAGACCACGAGGGCCCCGGCCUCGCGGUAAAAGAUGGCCUCUGCUUGCACGCUAUCACUCCGGGAUGGGCCGCGCGCCAUUAGCUAGUUGGUGAGGUAACGGCUCACCAAGGCUCAGAUGCUAGCUGGUCUGAGAGGAUGACCAGCCACACUGGGACUGAGACACGGCCAGACUCCUACGGGAGGCAGCAGUGGGGAAUAUUGGACAAUGGGCGCAAGCUGAUCCAGCCAUGCCGCGUGAGUGAUGAUGGCCCUAGGGUUGUAAAGCCUUUCAGCGGGGAAGAUAAUGACGGUACCCGCAGAAGAAGCCCCGGCUACUUCGUGCCAGCAGCCGCGGUAAU